rnacentral:rRNA from 1 species
UACGGAGGGUGCAAGCGUUAAUCGGAAUUACUGGGCGUAAAGCGUGCGCAGGCGGUUUGUUAAGUCCGUUGUGAAAGCCCCGAGCUCAACUUGGGAAUUGCAGUGGAUACUGGCAGGCUGGAGUACGGUAGAGGAAGGUGGAAUUCCCGGUGUAGCAGUGAAAUGCGUAGAUAUCGGGAGGAACACCAGUGGCGAAGGCGGGUCUCUGGGCCGAUACUGACGCUGAGGAGCGAAAGCGUGGGGAGCGAACGAG